GAAAUGCGAUACGUAAUGUGAAUUGCAGACCGUGAAUCAUCUAAUCUUUGAACGCAUAUUGCGCUCUCUGGUAUUCCGGAGAGCAUGCCUGUUUGAGAAUCGUUAAAUAAAAUCAUUCCUUUGGAGGAACUCCUUUUUAUGAGAUCCAUUCAAAAUUGGAAUUGGACUUGAACGAUUAUCCUUAGUAGGGAUACCGUUUGUAAAACAGUGUUAACCUUGAUUUUAAGAAAUUUAUAAAGGAAUAAAAGACGUGUUUACUUGAUGUUUUCAUCAUUACUUUACGGCCUUUUUGUUUAUAUAAAGUACUGAGUCACAUAAGGUUUUAACUUGACCAAACAAAGUUUUUGAUAACUUUGACCACAUUUUUUUAUACUACUUAGCACUAGUGUAAAAAAAUUUAAAUUGGUCUCAAAUCAGGCAAGAGUACCCGCUGAACUUAAGC
rnacentral:misc_RNA from 1 species